CCUAACUCCCCGAUCUCCCCUGCUCGAAGCCGCACUCUUCGUUCCCUCUCUUCUUCCUCUGUUCUCUCUCUCUCGGGCGAAUCAGAGGCGAAGGGAGCAGAGCUUCUCCUUCGGUGAUCAUCCUCAGUCGCCGGAGCUUGCUGGAGCCCGACCGGACCGGCGGAGUCCAGAUCUUCUUCAGCCUCGGCAAGCGGCAGCGGCGGUCGGCCAUCUCCGCCCUAAUCGGUUUCGUCGGAGGGAAAUUAGGGUUGUCACUGAUCUUGGAGGGCUGGAGAUACUGACUAUACCCUGGCUGCGAUCUUGGAGGCAAGGAUCGAUUCUUUGUUGUCUGUUCUUGCUCUUCUUCCUUGCCGCUGACUAAGGUCCCUGUUGAGUGAAGGGUGUUUGAGUUGUCGGGCAAUGCCUAGAAGAGUUGUUGCUGGAUCAGUGAUCUCCUUGAUUGAUCUCUUGUUGUAAUCCUAUUGAUUUCCAGUGAGGUUGAGCGUCCUGUGGAUCUAGAAUUGGGUUCUGUGGCUUCUGGGUUUCGGCAGCACCUCAACCAGUAGCUCCUCUGGUUUCAACAAUCAACAGUGGUUGUUAAUUAAGGAUCUUGUCUGGUCCAGUAGGGCACUUUGUUUUCCAACAGCUCAAUUGAGGACUUUGAUUCGAGACAGGCGUCUCGACGUUGGAUUUGGCGUGAUUGUACCUUCUAUUGGA